CCAAAGUUCCACCAGCAUCACAUCCCAACUGCUCUUUGCCCUGCAUGGAACCACCCUAAAGCACGCCCCGUGUUGCUUUCUCAGCCAUAUUUCCCUCCUGAGAGCUGCUCGGUAAGCCCGGCCGUGGGGCCAUCACAGACCCCCGCCCGGAGCAUGCCCACGUUGGGCAUCUGGGAAGGUUCCAGAAGCGCGGUGUGGCCGUGGGAGCGCCCCAUGCGCCCACCUCCUGCUGGGGGCUGCGCCAAGGAGGGGUCUGUCAGGAUCCAGCCCCAAUGCUGGGUGACCCAGGAGGUCUCCAUCAUGGCUGGCGCCUCCAGGGCUGCCCUCCCACAUGCGGCUCGGUGCGACGCACACUAGAUUACUUCGUUCUUUCAGUGACUACUGCUAGACAGACGCAUCCUGUUGUGAUAAAGGAGACCAGCUGGAUUUAGGACUGCAGCUUCGUGUUUGUGGUAUGACUGACCAUAUGUGAUUCUCUGUCAAGUUUGCAGCUUUAAUGCAUGCGAUGCUAUGGAUGACAGACGGAGCACAGAGGACCCGGGGCCCCGUCGGGUGCCGUGCAGCAGCUGGUGUUGUGAAUCAGGCCGUCGCCAGUCGGAGAACGGCUACUUCACAACACCAGGGUGGCACCGCACCACGUUUCGACCGCCAGCCGGAGAGGAGCGGAGGUUCCCGAGGAUGGGCACGGCAAGGGGGAGCACGGCCUCGCUGCCUCCGCCCCAGCCCAGACCUGCAAAGGUAAUCAGGUGCUCAACUCCUAUUUAGGCACCAGCCUCCCACGGAAGUCUGAAAUAGAAGUUAGGCCCCUAAAUAUCUCUGCGGGUCUGGCCCCGAGGCCCGGCCUCGCUGUGUGGCAUGGGGCAGUCCUGUCACGGCUCAGUCACGGCCUGCACGUGUGCUCCGUGAAUGGUGAGGAACGGGUGACUUCUGGUGGGUGGUGGAAAGCUGCAGGAUGAGCAGCCUCUGUGCUCCACGUGUAGCCCAGCGGACACCUCAUCGCGUAUCAUUCUGUAAAAGGUGCUGUAGGCACUGUGGAGGAAGCCAGGCUCCCUGGAAAUUACAUUAAAACAGCCCCAGGUGUGUUGUAAUGAACGAUAAAGUACCGAAAAUAAAGAGUGGGGUUGGCCAGAAGUGGUACCCUUGUCUGCUGUUGUUAAAAUGGAGAAAAUAUUUGAAUUUGCAUUGCUUGAGAACCCCCCAGAAAAUGGUUAUUAGACCCACACUGUCCAGAGGGGUCCUAUAACAGUUGCCCUGUGUUUCAGGUGUGAAUUUCAGGCUCUUCUGCCUCCUCCCUCAUAGCAUAAAGCCCACAUGCUCUUAGCUUUAAGGGCAGGGGCUGCAGUGCAGCACUUCCCACCCGAAGCCACGUCGUGUUCAUGGAGGUCCACAAAAGCUGAUGGCUGUGUGCACCCCGUAAGUGAAACAGAAACUCUGCUCAAGUUUGAUCUGUGAAAGCAGCCGCAUUCUCUUGGGCUCAAGAUGUGCUUUUCACUGGUGAGGUUUUCCCUUCACCCCACCCCACGUAAUACUGACUAUACACUCUUACACAUUUGCUAGCUGCUCGCUCACUUGAUGUGAAACACUGUACACGUCUAAAGCUAAGAGAGGAGAAAUAAAGAGAGCAAACAAUUAAGGUAACAGAAAGUAUUAAGGUAAUAGAAGUGAUGAAGGAUUUCUUGAAAGUUUUCUCUAUUAUCCUAAUUUGUCUGAUUGAAGCCAGCAGUAAAAAUUACUGCAGUGUCAUCCUGGAUGUGUGAUGCUGGCAGGGAGAUAGAUGUAGGAGAGAGUCAGGACACACCCAAGAUCAGCGAUAGUAUAGGGCAGCCUGGAAAUGCAAGUGUAAAGUGGCAAAGGUGGUUGCGUUAGACACGUCCUAAUUUUCCUCUUCAGGUGGGCUUUCUACAGAGGCAACCCUGCAUUCCCUUCAUAGCAAAAAGCCACAACUGACAGGGUGAAGAACGCAGGAGAUGUUUGGGAGGCACUCUCAUUCAUUAGGAGAGGGCAGUCUGGUGAUGCAGUUUAGCACUGGCGUUUUUACAUUGACGAGAGGGAAAUUAAGACCCCAUUUCUAUUUCAGGCACUAUGGCAAGAAUGGGCAUGAAUUUGUCAAUCUGGUGUGCAAGAAGUAUGUUUUAUUAAACUUGUCCUCUGCUAA